ACGACUCUCGGCAACGGAUAUCUCGGCUCUUGCAUCGAUGAAGAACGUAGCGAAAUGCGAUACUUGGUGUGAAUUGCAGAAUCCCGUGAACCAUCGAGUCUUUGAACGCAAGUUGCGCCCGAAACCAUCCGGUUGAGGGCACGUCUGCCUGGGCGUCACGCAU
rnacentral:rRNA from 1 species